AACCAGGAUUAGAUACCCUAUUAUUUUAAAAUGAAUACAAACAAACUAAAUUAGUAUUAGAUAUAUACUUUAAAAUUAAAAGAUUUGGCGGUAGUUUAAUCCUAUUAGAGGAACUUGUUUUUUAAUCGAUAACCCACGUAUAAUCUUACUUGUCUUUGUUUACAGUAGUUUGUAUACCAUCAUUAUAAGGAAAUUCUAAAAGGAUAAAUUUCUUAGAAUAAUUUAUUAUAGAAAUUAGAUCAAGGUGCAGCUAAUAGAUAAGUUAAAAUGAGUUACAGUAAAUUGUUUUAUGACGAAUUAAAUUAAAUUAAAAUUUUUAUGAAGGAGGAUUUGAUUGUAGCGUGAAUUUAAUAAGUUUGCGCGGAAUUGGCUCUAAACUAUGUACAUAUCGCCCGUCGUCGGCGGGAAAAAAGAGAAUUCCACAUAUAUUACCUAGAGAAAGCCAACAAAAUAAAAUCUGAGAAGACACACAUUCACAUCUUUUCAUUCACUGGAGAGGAGAUGGCCACCAAAGCGGACUACACCCUUGACGAAGAGAGCAGAGCAAGAAUCAAAACUAGGCUUUUCACUAUAAGACAAGAAAUGGCCAGUAGGAGUCUAUGGGAUUCCUUUCGUCAGUCCGAAAGAGGCGAAGAAACAAUUGAA
rnacentral:rRNA from 1 species